rnacentral:tRNA from 1 species
GUAAGUAUAGUUUAACUAAAACAUCAGAUUGUGAUUCUGAAAACAGAGGUUAAAACCCUCUUACUCACC